GGGCUGCAGUAGGGAAUAUUGGACAAUGGGCGAAAGCCUGAUCCAGCAACGCCGCGUGCACGAUGACGGCCUUCGGGUUGUAAAGUGCUUUUAGAGGAGAUGAGAAAGGACAGUAUCCUCUGAAUAAGCCUCGGCGAACUACGUGCCAGCAGCCGCGGUAAAACGUAGGAGGCAAGCGUUAUCCGGAUUUAUUGGGCGUAAAGCGCGUGCAGGCGGUUUGACAAGUUGGAUGUGAAAGCUCCUGGCUUAACUGGGAGAGGUCGUUCAAGACUGUCAGACUAGAGAAUGGGAGAGGGAGGUGGAAUUCCGGGUGUAGUGGUGAAAUGCGUAGAUAUCCGGAGGAACACCAGUGGCGAAAGCGGCCUCCUAGACCAUUUCUGACGCUAAGACGCGAAAGCUAGGGUAGCAAACGGGAUUAGAUACCCCUGUAGUC
rnacentral:rRNA from 1 species